rnacentral:rRNA from 1 species
GACGAACGCUGGCGGCGUGCCUAAUACAUGCAAGUAGAACGCACAGGAUGCACCGUAGUUUACUACACCGUAUUCUGUGAGUUGCGAACGGGUGAGUAACGCCUAGGUAACCUGCCUGGUAGCGGGGGAUAACUAUUGGAAACGAUAGCUAAUACCGCAUAAGAACAUUUACUGCAUGGUAGAUGUUUAAAAGGUGCAAAUGCAUCACUACCAGAUGGACCUGCGUUGUAUUAGCUAGUUGGUGAGGUAACGGCUCACCAAGGCAACGAUACAUAGCCGACCUGAGAGGGUGAUCGGCCACACUGGGACUGAGACACGGCCCAGACUCCUACGGGAGGCAGCAGUAGGGAAUCUUCGGCAAUGGGGGGAACCCUGACCGAGCAACGCCGCGUGAGUGAAGAAGGUUUUCGGAUCGUAAAGCUCUGUUGUUAAGGAAGAACGUGUGUGAGAGUGGAAAGUUCACACAGUGACGGUACUUAACCAGAAAGGGACGGCUAAGUAC